AAGAUGUUCUGGUACAGGGAGCUACUGUGGUUAUGAAGGUAGUUUUCCCAGAGCAAAGCUUAUCCAUUGCCAACCCCUGCAGUUUCCCCAAAUGUGGGAACCUUGACUGCAUAAUUUGUGGUAGAGGGGGACUGAGUUUGUACUCUCCCCUG
rnacentral:snRNA from 1 species